GCCAAGUCGAGCAGAAGGACCGUCGACCACAGUCGCUCAGUCUGGUUCCUCUGAGGAAGGCGAGUGGCAAAAUCCACUCUUUCCAAACCUGCAGGCGCAGGUAAAGUGCUGAGGAUCUUUCCCGGAGCAAACCAACUAACGUUUUUUCUUCAAGCCUCGUGUCUUUAAUUUGUACUGGCAGACGAUGAAAUAUUUACAAGGAACCCUACAGGCAAUUACAUUAAAAGUGUGCGGUUAGACACUGCCUACCCAUCGGCGGGGCCCCCUCGGUGAGAAGCUGAGGCCGAUUUGGUGAAUGGUCGCAAAGUUUACAACGUCAGAUUUUACUCACUAUCAAUAAUUCAGAGCUGGAAGAGGCAGAGAGAGGAGGAAGGAGGGGAGGCGGCGGCGGCGAGGGGCAGGAGAAGGGAGCGACGUUAGGAGGUGAGUGAGUGUGUGUGUGAGCGUUCAGACUGUGGUGAUGUCGGAGGAAGGCUGCACUUCAGUGUCCAUUUGCUAAACGUGGCAGAACACGUGUUGGCGGCCAUGUUGUGUUCACUGAAAGCUCCGCCGGACGUCCCGAUCCCUCAGAGUCCAUCCUGGUUUGUGAUCACACGCAUUGUUGGACAUAGGCUACAAACACAAGAGUGUUUUGUUUGGCACAUACAAACAAACACAUUGGGCAAGACAACAAGGCCAACAGCGGUUGGAUUGUAGUUCCAAAUACGAGCAACAUAAAAAGAUUCUGAUGGCUAAAUUUACAUUACAUAGAAAGUUAAUAAACAACGGUGUCAUGUAACAUGUCUAUUAAGUUUUUUCUUCCAUCCUCAUUUAAGUGUUUUGUUGCAAAUUUUGUGAGAUAAAAAAUAGACUGCGUAUGUAUUUCCCUUUUUUCUUCAAGAUCUGAUCUCAAGUAGUGACAGCACAGAAUAAGCAGGUGACCAAUAAAGUUAAACUUGAAUUCCUGAAUUUUGCAAAUGCUUUUGCUUCCAUACAUAGGACACGAUGCUCCAAACAGUUGCACCUGAAGGGCAAAGACGGAAAAAGAGAGGGAGACUUUGAAGGAGAGUUCAUCACAGGGAAACCCAACAGUUCCCACAACGAGCAUCACAAACUCCCUUUCAACAGGAAGAAACCUCGACCGGUUGGGGAGGGAGAUGAGGGAAAGAGAAGGAUGGAAAGAGGAGAGAGCGAGAACAGUUGUUGUUUUAAGCUCUAUCGAACUGAUUCUUACAUUAACAAUCACAAUACUGACAUGUUAUGA
rnacentral:lncRNA from 1 species